AUUGAACGCUGGCGGCAUGCCUUACACAUGCAAGUCGAACGGUAACAGGUCUUCGGACGCUGACGAGUGGCGAACGGGUGAGUAAUACAUCGGAACGUGCCCAGUCGUGGGGGAUAACUACUCGAAAGAGUAGCUAAUACCGCAUACGAUCUGAGGAUGAAAGCGGGGGACCUUCGGGCCUCGCGCGACUGGAGCGGCCGAGGGCAGAUUAGGUAGUUGGUGGGAUAAAAGCUUACCAAGCCGACGAUCUGUAGCUGGUCUGAGAGGACGACCAGCCACACUGGGACUGAGACACGGCCCAGACUCCUACGGGAGGCAGCAGUGGGGAAUUUUGGACAAUGGGCGAAAGCCUGAUCCAGCAAUGCCGCGUGCAGGAUGAAGGCCUUCGGGUUGUAAACUGCUUUUGUACGGAACGAAAAAGCUCCUUCUAAUACAGGGGGCCCAUGACGGUACCGUAAGAAUAAGCACCGGCUAACUACGUGCCAGCCGCCGCUGUAA
rnacentral:rRNA from 1 species